UAGGGAAUCUUCCGCAAUGGACGCAAGUCUGACGGAGCAACGCCGCGUGAGUGAAGAAGGUUUUCGGAUCGUAAAACUCUGUUGUUAGAGAAGAACAAGUGCUAGANUNNNNNUUAGCGCCUUGACGGUAUCUAACCAGAAAGCCACGGCUAACUACGUGCCAGCAGCCGCGGUAAUACGUAGGUGGCAAGCGUUGUCCGGAUUUAUUGGGCGUAAAGCGAGCGCAGGCGGUUCCUUAAGUCUGAUGUGAAAGCCCCCGGCUCAACCGGGGAGGGUCAUUGGAAACUGGGGAACUUGAGUGCAGAAGAGGAGAGUGGAAUUCCAUGUGUAGCGGUGAAAUGCGUAGAUAUAUGGAGGAACACCAGUGGCGAAGGCGACUCUCUGGUCUGUAACUGACGCUGAGGCUCGAAAGCGUGGGUAGCAAACAGGAUUAGAUACCCUGGUAGUCCACGCCGUAAACGAUGAGUGCUAAGUGUUGGAGGGUUUCCGCCCUUCAGUGCUGCAGUUAACGCAUUAAGCACUCCGCCUGGGGAGUACGACCGCAAGGUUG
rnacentral:rRNA from 1 species